GCCAACCAGAGGAGGCGUAUUUAUUGUAUGCUCAUUUCCUGGAUGAAGUAUUAAAAUAAUUCUACCUAGGAAAAAAUGAGCAGCACUUUCAAAAGGAAAGAUUCGCUUCUGAGGCACCUUAUAAAACACUCUAAAUUGCCAGAACUCAUGGAACCGGCAGUGUGGGCCAUCACAUCCAAAUGUCAUCUCUGCUAUUUCUAAUUCCAUGCAAACUUCACACCACAUCUACUGGUUACGCAGGAAAACAAAAUGCUGCAAAAGCUUACAGCUCAGUGGGUACCAUUCACCGACUAUGUGCAUCAGUAGGGCUCGUUUCAAAUCUGUGGCAUGAAAGGAAGUGAGAAAAUUCAGGAGAGUUGGAACUAAUCCCUCAAAAGAAAUCCUCAGGAGCAAAAUCUGUGGAAUCACGGCCUUACCUUGGGGGUUGUAGGUGAGCCCGCUGUGCUUUCUUCUGCUAAGAGUUCUGACUGUAUGUGAUCCUGUGUCCCUGGACAAAUUACUCACCAGCCGAAAAGUCAUAUUCAAGCGGCCAAUGGGAAUCUCCCAACAUUCCUCCAGGUUGGCAAAGUCACUUAUAAGUAGGUAAGAGUCUGUGAUAUCUUCCUCCAACUGCAAUCCUGGGGUCGCAGCCAAAAUGUCAUCUUCAAUGGAAAGGUCUCUCACAGACACCUUCACGUUGAAUGGCAAGCAGAACUCCUUAGAGAGUUCAGAAAUGUGGUACUGUUUCUUAUCGUGAAUCACCUCGACGAAGCCUCCCUCCAUGUACAGAGGAAGCUGCGCUGCCUCGUAGGACUUUUUGAGGAUUUUUUGACAGGCCAGAACAUUCACCUCUGUCUUUUUCCCCUCACAGAGGACUUCCGUCGUCUCAGAGCGAUGCACCAGAUACUGGUCCCCAACAGAGACAGAGGACAGCUCCUCAUGAGGAGAAUGAAAGUCUUUGGUGGCCACCACAUGGAGGAAUUCCUUCUCACUCUUGGCUAGCUCCAGGUCGUAGGCCGUUGGGAACUCCCGAGGUCGCCUCUUGAAUUUGCCUUUGUAGCUACUGGGAAUCAAAAAGUGUCUUUUAGGAAAAUUGCUUCUAAUUUCUGAGGCUAAGAUCCUUGAUGCCUGGUACUUUUGAUGGAUCACAAUGGUUUUCCCAGGUUGUAAAAUAUUUCGGGGCAGCUGGUUUCCGUGAGGUACUUCUAUGACUUCAGCCACUAUGGGAAACUCUUUAUCGGUCAUUUCAAAGAGAUCUUCUGUAGAUAACAGCUGAGGAAACCAGUUAGCAUCAUAGGAGUCGGUUAUGUCUUUGACUUCAACAUCUAAACUGGGGAGAAUGCGGAUUAUAUCCUUCCGAACUGAAAAGAAAGGAAAGAAAGAGUGACAUUUCCUGCCUCAAAUGUUUGCUGUGAGAUACUCUCCUGGUACUACAUCAUUUCUCUUUUUUAGUUUUAAUUUUUAUUAAGACACGUUAAUAGCGCAUUCGUCGUGAGGACUUGGUAUAUAAACGUAACACAUCUUAUUUCUUGUGGGAAAGGAAAAUAUUCAGGUGAUUCUAGUAUGCUUCUGACAUGUGAGCUUCAUUUCUUUAAAUUUUAAGAGGAAAGACAUAUCUAAAAAGUAUACUUUGGUACAAAAAAAAAUUUUAAAAAUGUACUUUGACUUAGUACAAUGGUCCUAUAUAUUUUACUUGUAAUUUGUCUGGUUUUCAAUCUGUAUAUAUGAUAAUUAACUUUAUCUUAUAAGGUCUUAUGAGAUAAAUAAAUGAAUCUAAUGUUGGAAAACUAAAAAGAAGUAGGAGGAAAAGGGAAAAAGAAGGAAAUCUAAAUGUAGGAAUCCCCUCCAUUGAAUUUAGUAACCAUUAUUACCCAAAAAAAGUACUAAUAAAAGUAAAAACAAAACAAAGCUAUAAUCCCAUUUUUUAAAAAGAAAUAUACAUUAACUGGUCCUUUGGAGCCAUAUAAACUCCCCCAAAUCCUCCUCUUCCUUGUCUAAGGGCAAGCAUUGUCUUGAUUCCAACGUCAACCAGCCCUGUGUAUGUACUCACAGUUUCAUGGCGUAGUCUUGAAUAUAGAUACAUACUUAGGAAUAUGUGUAUAAAAGUGAUAUGUGGUAUCAUUGUAAGUCUUAUUUUUAUACAUAUAAACUUUAUAUGUAAAAUUGUUUUUUAAAAAACAGUGUUGGUAUUCCAGACAAGAUUCUUCAUGGAUAAAGUCCAACAUGUAUAUUCUUUUUAUUUAUCCUGUGGGCUAAAAACAACACUGAAGAUUCACCAGAUAUAAAGUACUUAAGAUUAGUAUAGGAAAAGGUUAUCAAAAUGCAGUCUUUUUCCAAUGUCAAAGUUAUUUCUUUUUCCACUAGUGCUGGGUUACUCUCAGAAAGCAAAAACACUGGUGACAGAAGGGUCACAGCUACUCAGAGCCCUUGGCAAAGCGACAAAUGUUUUACCACUGUGUCCCCGAGGAAAAGUGAGUCACUAUAUUAUUUCAAUAAUUCUUUGAGACCACAGAGACACAGUAUUAUCCUGAAACCAUUAAUCUGCUACCCACAUAUAGUAUCAAUACAAAUGGUCCUGAUUUUAAAAUAAGGUUAUGUGUUAAUAUGAGCAGGAUUUUAUAGCAGUUUGUGUGAUUUUGAUGUCCUUUUAACAUAAGUCUUAUAGCAUUUUCAUGGUCCACUACUGUUUCUUAGUAUCUCUAGCCAUUGUUAAUAUUCCUUCCAAGUUUUUGAUACUGAGCAAUUUAGAAAACUCAGAAGAUACAAUUCAUUGUUAUAAACAUUACUUUUGUCAUCACUUUUCAUAUCAGUAAUUCUUUAUGGAACAUCUGAAAUCCAUAAUGUAAUAAAUUGUAUCAUGUCAUAUAGGCCAUGUAAUAAUGCUAUAAAAACACAGCACGAAAAAGUAUUACCUUAUUUUCUUGAGAACAAAAAUGGAAAUAAAUGGUUUCUUGAAGACUGAAAAUUGAAAA